GAUUUCUGGUAUGGCGCAUUUGGCCCGCUUCGGUUACGGAGUUGAGUGCCGUUUUGCGCCUGCCAUCCUUCUGGAAUACGACUCUCCCUUCAUUGGGUUGGGCCGGAAUCCAGAUCAUUUACUUUGAAAAAAUUAGAGUGUUUAAAGCAGGCUUACGCUAUGAAUACAUUAGCAUGGAAUAAUAAUUUAGGACUUCGGUUCUAUUUUGUUGGUUUCUAGGACUGAAGUAAUGAUUGAUAGGGAUAGUUGGGGGUGCUAGUAUUCAGCGGCCAGAGGUGAAAUUCUCGGAUUCGCUGAAGACUAACUUAUGCGAAAGCAUU
rnacentral:rRNA from 1 species